rnacentral:rRNA from 1 species
CAGGCCUAACACAUGCAAGUCGAACGGUAACAGGAAGCAGCUUGCUGCUUCGCUGACGAGUGGCGGACGGGUGAGUAAUGUCUGGGAAACUGCCUGAUGGAGGGGGGUAACUACUGGAAACGGUAGCUAAUACCGCAUAACGUCGCAAGACCAAAGAGGGGGACCUUCGGGCCUCUUGCCAUCGGAUGUGCCCAGAUGGGAUUAGCUAGUAGGUGGGGUAACGGCUCACCUAGGCGACGAUCCCUAGCUGGUCUGAGAGGAUGACCAGCCACACUGGAACUGAGACACGGUCCAGACUCCUACGGGAGGCAGCAGUGGGGAAUAUUGCACAAUGGGCGCAAGCCUGAUGCAGCCAUGCCGCGUGUAUGAAGAAGGCCUUCGGGUUGUAAAGUACUUUCAGCGGGGAGGAAGGUGUUGAGGUUAAUAACCUCAGCAAUUGACGUUACCCGCAGAAGAAGCACCGGCUAACUCCGUGCCAGCAGCCGCGGUAAU